rnacentral:rRNA from 1 species
UACGUAGGGGGCAAGCGUUGUCCGGAAUUAUUGGGCGUAAAGAGCGCGUAGGCGGUCCGAUAAGUCGGCUGUGAAAGUCAGGGGCUCAACCCUUGAAAGCCGGCCGAUACUGUCGGACUAGAGUCCGGAAGAGGAGAGUGGAAUUCCCGGUGUAGCGGUGAAAUGCGCAGAUAUCAGGAGGAACACCGGUGGCGAAGGCGGGUCUCUGGGCCGGAACUGACGCUGAGGAGCGAAAGCGUGGGGAGCGAACAGG